GAUGAAGAACGUAUCGAACGUGCGAAACGUAAUGUGAAUUGCAGAAUUCAGUGAAUCAUCGAAUCUUUGAACGCAUCUUGCGCUCCUUGGUAUUCCGAGGAGCAUGCCUGUUUGAGUGUCGUGAAUACUCUCAACUUCAACCCUUUUUUCGGAAAGGGAGGAAGGUUGGACUUGGGUGUUUGUUGAAGUGCGAGCUUCGACUCAUCCUAAAUGCAUUAGCGAUCUGCCUCGAUCACACACAAUGUGAUAAUUAAAACUAAAGCAUUGUUUAAUGAUCAAGUCGAGACUGCUUCUAACUGUCGCAAGACAAUAACGUGCAUACAUUUGUGCAUGUCAUUUGACCUCAAAUCAGGUAGGACUACCCGCUGAACUUAAGCAUAUCAAUAAGCGGAGGA
rnacentral:misc_RNA from 1 species